AUGACUGUAAUUCAUUCAGAACUAUUCUUUUAUCAACUUUCUCUGCUUUCAAACUAUCUACACACUACAGCAUAUCAGAUACAUUGUUUAAACACCUCCCUUUCAAAGGCAAAUCAAUACAAGGUAGAGGGACAGGGAGUUAAGAUAGUUAGCUGGUAGAGUUUGUGUGCAGCUCCUGAAAUGUAUGUUUUGCUUUGAUACUGUGUUAUGAUUAUUAUUAUCACAGUACAAAUAACCUUGGGACAAAUGGAAUUUAAUAUGAGUCUGUGAUUAAAUGACUUUCAUUGCCGAUAUGAUUUAUUCUACUACAGGGGCAGUCCAUAAAAUCCAUAUGUGAUUCUUUGUAGUCUUUUGCAAUAGUGUUCCUUAUCUUGAUGUACUUUGAAUUACUGUGAGUGGUGAGUCUGGAGAUUAGUUGGAUUCAGGGUUGUAAAAAGUAAGAGGAUGACACCUGUAUAUUAUACAGCCUUUAGAUCAGGGCUCUCCAACCCUGUUCCUGGAGAGAUACCCUCCUGUAGGUUUCCACUCCAACCCUGUUCCUGGAGAACUACCCUUCUGUAGGUUUUCACUCCUACCCUGUUCCUGGAGAGCUACCCUCCUGUAGGUUUUCACUCCAACCCUGUUCCUGGAGAGCUACCCUCCUGUAGGUUUUCACUCCAACCCUGUUCCUGGAGAGCUACCCUCCUGUAGGCUUUCACUCCAACCCUGUUCCUGGAGAGCUACCCUCCUGUAGGUUUCCACUCCAACCCUGUUCCUGGAGAGCUACCCUCCUGUAGGUUUCUACUCCAACUCUGUUCCUGGAGAGCUACCCUCCUGUAGGUUUUCACUCCAACCCUGUUCCUGGAGAACUACCCUCCUGUAGGUUUCUACUCCAACCCUGUUCCUGGAGAGCUACCCUCCUGUAGGUUUCUACUCCAACUCUCUUCCUGGAGAACUACCCUUCUGUAGGUUUUCACUCCAACCCUGUUCCUGGAGAGCUACCCUCCUGUAGGUUUUCACUCCAACCCUGUUCCUGGAGAGCUACCCUCCUGUAGGUUUCUACUCCAACCCUGUUCCUGGAGAGCUACCCUCCUGUAGGUUUCUACUCCAACCCUGUUCCUGGAGAGCUACCGUCCUGUAGGUUUCUACUCCAACCCUGUUCCUGGAGAGCUACCCUCCUAUAGGUUUUCACUCCAACCCUGUUCCUGGAGAGCUACCCUCCUGUAGGUUUCUACUCCAACUCUCUUCCUGGAGAACUACCCUUCUGUAGGUUUUCACUCCAACCCUGUUCCUGGAGAGCUACCCUCCUGUAGGUUUUCACUCCAACCCUGUUCCUGGAGAGCUACCCUCCUGUAGGUUUUCACUCCAAUCCCAGUUGUAACUAACCUGAUUCAGCUUAUAAACCAGCUCAUUAUUAGAAUCAGGUGAGCUAGAUUAGGGUUGUAGACCGUAGGAUACCCAAUAGUUCAGCAGUCUAGAAAUAUUCUGUGUCACAAUAUAAAUGUGUCUAACUUUGUUGCUUUGAACCACAAGAAAUGUACAACGUCAAUGGAUUCUAUCCCCAACGAAUUACGGAGUUUUUGAGAAUUGACUGGAGACUCCACCUGUUUGAUGAUUAACGUCAUUAUUGAUCUGAGAUAUAGAGACAGGUGAUGCAGUGUUCCAAGGUGCGGCCCAGGUAUAGGGUCUAACUACCAUAUCUUCUACGUGACUAUUACCAUGUGAUACCAGGGACAUUGACCCACUGAUACAGAGGACACAAUGACUACCAUUUAUUAGAUCCAACCAAUGAUUGUUUGAAGGGAGGUAUUAUGUGAAUCUCAAUAGCAUCAUUGGCGAUGCAGUGUCACACACACACACGCACGCACACACACACACACACACACACACACACACACACACACACACACACACACACACACACACACACACACACACACACACACACACACACACACACACACACACACACACACACACACACACACACACACACACACACACA